rnacentral:lncRNA from 1 species
AGGAUGCUGAGGCCUACAGCGUGAUGCAGGCAGGAUGCUGAGGCCUACAGCGUGAUGCAGGCAGGAUGCUGAGGCCUACAGUGUGAUGCAGUCAGGGUGCUGAGGCCUACAGCGUGAUGCAGGCAGGGUGCUGAGGCCUACAGCGUGAUGCAGGCAGGAUGCUGAGGCCUACAGCGUGAUGCAGGCAGGAUGCUGAGGCAGGAUGCUGAGGCCUACAGCGUGAUGCAGGCAGGAUGCUGAGGCCUACAGUGUGAUGCAGUCAGGGUGCUGAGGCCUACAGCGUGAUGCAGGCAGGGUGCUGAGGCCUACAGCGUGAUGCAGGCAGGAUGCUGAGGCAGGAUGCUGAGGCCUACAGCGUGAUGCAGGCAGGGUGCUGAGGCCUACAGCUAUUUCAAAUCAUAAACACAACAUCAGGGGAGCAUGCCCACCU